UGCCUAACCCUUAUGUUCUCAUAAGGUAUGGUAAAAAAACCAGUGAAACAUAAUUAACUCUUCGUCAGAGCCGUGUUUCACUGGUCAUAAUUCGAAAGGAUUAUGGGGGCGUAAGCCCU
rnacentral:sRNA from 1 species